GCGCUCGUAGCUCAGUCGGACAGAGCAUCGGUUUCCGGUACCGAAGGCCGGGGGUUCGAAUCCUCCCGAGCGCACCG
rnacentral:tRNA from 1 species